rnacentral:rRNA from 1 species
UGGGGAAUAUUGGACAAUGGAGGCAACUCUGAUCCAGCAAUUCUGUGUGUGUGAAGAAGGUUUUAGGACUGUAAAACACUUUUAGUAGGGAAGAAAGAAAUGACGGUACCUACAGAAGAAGCGACGGCUAAAUACGUGCCAGCAGCCGCGGUAAUACGUAUGUUGCGAGCGUUAUCCGGAAUUAUUGGGCUUAAAGGGCAUCUAGGCGGUAAGACAAGUUGAAGGUGAAAACCUGUGGCUCAACCAUAGGCUUGCCUACAAAACUGUUGAACUAGAGUACUGGAAAGGUGGGUGGAACUACACGAGUAGAGGUGAAAUUCGUAGAUAUGUGUAGGAAUGCCGAUGAUGAAGAUAACUCACUGGACAGAAACUGACGCUGAAGUGCGAAAGCUAGGGGAGCAAACAGG